UACGAAGGGGGCUAGCGUUGCUCGGAAUCACUGGGCGUAAAGCGCACGUAGGCGGCUUCUUAAGUCAGGGGUGAAAUCCUGGAGCUCAACUCCAGAACUGCCUUUGAUACUGAGAAGCUUGAGUCCGGGAGAGAUGAGUGGAACUGCGAGUGUAGAGGUGAAAUUCGUAGAUAUUCGCAAGAACACCAGUGGCGAAGGCGGCUCACUGGCCCGGUACUGACGCUGAGGUGCGAAAGCGUGGGGAGCAAACAGG
rnacentral:rRNA from 1 species